CUCCUAUCAGUUUUAAUAGCCCCAUGCUGGAUUCAGGAGGUGGAGUCACUUGGAUUUCACCAGAAGACAAUAUGAAAAAUAGUUCUCUAAGCAGCCAACUCUGAGGAGAUCUUAAAAGGGAAUCCACGUUUACUCCUUAUCAAAUCUUACUUUCAUAUGCAGUCAUUCCUAAGAACAUAACUGUCCAGUAAUGCAUCCGCUAACCAAGGAUCCUGAGGUUUCAAAAUGUGUUUGCACAACUCCCUAAAACUAAACUUUCCUGUGAACCUAAAUCCUGCUUGCAGUAGAUUUCAUUCGAGUAUAAGAGGUUAUGGAGGUCAGGCAACUAAGAAAUUUCUGUUUGAUGUAACACCAUCAGGAUGUUCCCAAACCAAAAUCCACCUGCGGGAAGGGCACAAUAUCAGCUGAUGAAAGGUCUGAAUAGGCACCUGAUGAUAAGUGUCUCACUCUGGCAGUGAUCCAGAAUAUAAUCCCACCUUCCAUUUUGUCACCUAAUGAUCACAUUGGACUCUGCACAAUUACCAUAACAAAUAAAAGAAAUUGCCACCAGGAUGACUUCAAAGGAUGAGGUGUAGAUGACUUCCUGCAUGCAGUGAUACAGUUUUUCAACUGUGUUACUAUAUUUGAUAUGAUGACCAGUGCAUUAAUAAUGAUGGCCACUGUGAAAAGUACUUCUUAAAUAUGAAACUGAAAUCAGUCUUCUAGCCAGUCAGCCAGUGUUCAGUACAUCAAAUAAUUCAAAACUGAUCUCAAACAAUUGGGUGGC
rnacentral:lncRNA from 7 species